rnacentral:lncRNA from 1 species
CUGACGUCUUUCUUGCUUGUUAUGACGUCACAAUGGUUGCUGUAGCGUCCACAGCUAUUUUUAUAUGAGACCCCCAAACAUACGCGCAGCAGUAUAGAGAGGAGAUGCGCGGAAGGCGGAAAACAUGGACGAAAAAGAAAAUGUCGAAGAGGUGUAGGGUUGUUCAUCCUCCCGUCGGAGCACAGGGGCAACACCUCCUGCUGGAGCUGCCCCUGGGAGCCAAGGUCCCCAUCAUCCCGGGAGUCCGCACCACCUUCUACACCACCAACCUCAGCGAGAGGCUGUAUCAGGAUAGUGCCAGCUUCGUGCUCACGGAUCCGAACAGCCAUCAGAUUGACUCUACUUACAACAGCCUGCAUGACCCCAACCUGAAGCAGUUUUUCAACAACAGAAACAGGCAGAGGCUUCUGGUUAAAAGGGGCUUAAUAACACCACACAAGAAAGUUAUCUGCACCCCCAAAGAGUUCAACCAGUACCGGGAGUACCUGACCACAGUGAAACUCGACUGGGAGAAGAGCUAUUUGGAACAGCAGAAGGAGCUGGUGAAGCAGUUCCUCAUCCUCCAGGAGAGGAACGAGAUCCCCCAGGAUGUGUCCGUCUGUGACAUGAGGGAGUGGCUCCUGGAGCAUGGGAGUACCAUGCACCGCGAUGGGGAGAGGGCAGCCAGGAUGCGGCUGCAGUAUGGCAAGCCCAGAGACGAGAGGCCCCUGAGCCACACUCAGUUGACCUGGAGGGUGAAGGAGCGGCUCAUGCUGCAGGAGCUGGAGGUGGAGGCCCGCAGGGAGCUCCGGCUGGAGCGCCGCUGGUCCUACCCCAGGGCAGCAGGAGUUACGACGAAAAUAACAGAGGGGGAUUUGAACAUCCCACCCACCCCAGGACCCUCCCCUGUUUUGAGCCCUUGCACAAGCAUGUUCAGUGGACCACAGGACUGGGAAACAAAGAUCUUCUCAUCCCCAUCUGAAGCAGACAUGAGUUCUCUCUUAGAAUCUCAGUCCUCCUACAGCAAGGUCAAGUCUGAUCUGGAAAUGAAGAGAGUGGCAGAACAUUUCAAACAGACUAUUGCAGCGGAGGAGCUCAGCCCUGUUGCAAAGAACCUAGUGGAGUGGGUGGUGAGGGAAGUGAGCAGCAUUUUAAUUCCUGCCAUCCGGGAGUUUGAGGAGUUAAGGCGGGGGGGGUCCCACACACGGAGCAACACCAGCUGUUCAGAAGCCACCGAUCUGGGUGGAGCAGAGAGCAGCAGUUCUGUUCUUCAGAGUUGGUUGUACCCCUCACCUCUUACUUCUGGGAGGACCUCUGAUGCGUCCCCAUCAGUCAGUAUAAGUAGCCCGGAGACAGGCCAGGAUUCCCCCAGGGAGAUUAAACCUCAAAGCGGUGCCUCUGCUACCCCAACAGAGGAAGACAUGAGGCUCAUGACACCAGAGACUAACUUUUUGGCCCUCCCCUCUCCAUCACUAAUCAAGAAGGCGGAGAGCAUUGUGUGGGAUAUAUUUAACAAAGCAGUGGACAUUGUCAGUUGUCUCCAGCCCGAGGCCAAAACUGAAGAAAUGACUCCACUCUCCCAUGACAAGGCCUUUAUCCAAAAGGCGAAGAGCAUUGUGUGGCAUGUGGUUUGCAGGGCAGCGGAGGAGGUGAAAUCACAGGCUGCAGGGGCAGACGUGCAGGUGGCACCCUGUCGUGGACCAGGGUCCCUUAUCAGUAGCUCCAGAAGCAGCCUUUAUUCUCAUAACAUUGUGGACACCGUCCUUGAAAGAGUGAAAUCCAGUCUUGAGAAAACAUCUGCAUUGCCAGAUAAGAAGGUAGAUGGUGAAGCCUCAGGCUCCCAGGAUUGCCAGCCUUCCAACCUGACUUCACACUGUAUCUCUGUAGGAGGUCAGCCCUUUGUGAGCAGUUUUGGGGAGUCCAGCUCCACCUGUAGGCUUCUGGGAGGGCACCCAUUGGAGAUGAGAUCUCAGGUACCAAAAGUGGAAAAUGAUGAGCUGGACGCAGACCUAGAGGUCUUUGCCCAUGAGAUAAUUUCCUUGAUCCUGAAAAAGAUUAAUACAGAAACAGAAGAAGAAAAGGAUGUCAAAACAGAGGUAAAAUCACCACCCUCUGAAAUCCAGCUACAGACUGCUCCCAAAUUAGGAGGCAAGAAGAAACAGAAAUCUGAUUUUAAGCCAUCUUCCGAAAGUGCAAUAUGUGAUAGCACAGACAUAAACCUCCUAAGCAUACAGGUUGUCAGUGCCAUAUUCCAGGAAAUUAAGUGCCAGAUGGAUGAAGAAGAUCUCCUGAAAUUUUUGUCAGGGGAAAAGCAAUCUAAAGAAAGUCUUCAGGCCCGUGAGAUUGUGACAUCUGUCCUGGCUCAGCUGAAAAACAGAGAUUCUUGGGACAAAGCCUCAAAGACCUCAGUGAUUAUGAUGAAGAGUGGGAAAGCACCUUCUAAGACUGUCGUCCAACAAGCGAGUACUGUGCAGUCCCAUAUAGACUUAUCCAGCAAUGAAGGUGUGGCAGAGAUGUUUGACAUUUUUAAAUCAAAAUUCCGAAGAGCAGUGGUUCAGCCAGUUUGUGACAUUAUUGAAAAAGCAGCUGCCAAAUUUAUACGCCUUAAAUCCACCUUGUCUCCUCUUGAUGUUGGGAGGAGCAGAGAAUCUAAGGAAACUGGGUUACAGAGCCAUUGUGAUGAAGAUAAAUUGUCAGGCUCAUCUUCUUCUGAAGUAAUUUUAGUGGCAUGGGAUAUUGUGAAUGCUAUUCUUAAGAAACUUGUUGAUGCCUCGGGCUCUGCUGACACUACUUGCUCAAAAGAAAGUGAGUUUAAACUCAGAACAUUUGUCCAAGCAAUGUCCCUGGACAGUGGUUCAGUUGAUACAGUAGCCUCUGGAAUGUCAUUUUCGUUGUCCCAGAUCCAGUUAGUCUCUGGACAGCUUGUAAACACAGUUGUGAGCAAACUAAAAGCCUUUGUAAGCCAAGAUACGUUGUCAUCAUCUAGUUCUUGGAAAUUGUCAUCCAGCAAAAGUCCCUGUUCUGUGGAUUGCCUAGAGCUGAUUUCUGCCUUGACCCCAGGCUCAGCCCCAGCUAGACUCAGUACUCCAGAAACUUAUACUGACAGAAGUCCUUCAACAAGUGCAGGUACUUCUAAUGGCUUGAUUGGAAAUUCAGGACCUUUAGGAAUGCGCCAGGAUGCUCAGGAGAGGCAGUCAAACAGCCAUGUUGAUGUGAAGAAUGUUGUCAGUCAGAUCCUGCGAUCAGUCAAGACUGAGAGAGCCUAUAAAGCCAAACAUGGGAAAGAGGCAACUUUGACAAUUGACCAAGUGUCAACAAUCAUUACAGAAGUCAUGUUUACCAACCUAAUUGAAAGCGUGAAGGACCCUGCCACAGUGGCAUACACAUCCCCCCAGAUCAGAUACACUCUUAGCCCCUGUGACUCCCUUCCAGAGCUGGACAGAUUCCGUGACCCUGUUUCAUCAUCCGUCACAUCGCUCCUUGAUGAGAAGUUUGGGGCCCAGGCUAAGAACCUGAAAACAGCCAAGCAUACAUUUAAGCGUGUCACAGCUCCCACCUUUGAGAAGUUGGUGCUUGAGCCUCAUGGGAAUAAAACAGACGUAGUCGUCCAAAAGGUUGCUGUGGAAGAGUUGAGCUCUGAAAGCCAUGGAAGUGCAAAAGUGAUGAAGGAUGUCAAACCUGUGGUUACUAGGCCCACUGGAAGUGGUCAUGAAGAGGCCCGUGACAGUGCAAGCUUGCAGUCCAGUAGGAACAGCUCCACUUUGACUGAAGACAUCCAACCUUAUUUCUUUGCUGCAAAGAUCUCAACAACCUCAAUUCAGCUUCUAAAAUCAGUUGUGGACAAAUUCGUCAAAAAGCUACUGACAGAGUGCUUUCUCUUCAAUGAGCUUCUAUCAAGUGAGUUAAGGCAGAAGCAGAAGAGCUGUCCUUCAGAUGAGAGGGAGAGGAGGCGACAGGUUUUCAGGCACAAGCUUUCAAGUGGCAGAUCCUUGCCGGCAGAGGAAGACAGACCCCAGAGGCCUGGGGAGUGCGGUUGGCCAGAUUCAGAGGAAUACCACGAGAUACUUGCGGCUUUCUCCAACCUGCUGGUGAAAACUGUGAUGGGAACUCUCAUGCCUGGCAUCACCUAUGAAACCGGGACAACAUGCAUUGAGGAUCAAGGUGGCAGCAAGCAAGCCAGUUCACACAGCUGUAAUAAACGGAACAAGCAUGCGAACAGCAGCCCCAGUAACAACAUGCAGGAAGAGCGAGGCAGAGCCAUUAGAAAGUCUUCCAAAGCUGAUGGCAAACCCACUGAAGUUCAAGGGACGUCUAGAGAUCCUGUAAAGAAUUCAGAUAAAAAAGUAGUGAGGCCCAAAAUAUUCACUGAGGGCUCCUCAGGAGAAAGAAAAACAUCAGACAAGUACCGUUGUACAACAAUCGUGGUACAUCCAAAAACCCCAUCUAAGCCCCCCAAAUAUGAAAAGCCGAAAUGCUCUGCAAAAGAGAGUUCAAAAUCCAUCAAAGGACAAGAAAAAGGAGCAGCAAAGGUAUUGGAACCUGAGAUAGAUACCAAAGCUGACCCAUCAUCUGCCUCUGCAUCCGAGCAAAAUCCGAAAUCUGAGUCUAAGGCUAGUCAGAAUUCUUCUUCUUCAUCUUCCUCAUCCUACAGAUCAGUAGAGUCUUCAGAAGUCAUUAUACUGAACUCUGAAGUAGUGCAAGAUAUUCUGUCCUGUCUGAUGAUGAAAAUUUACUGUGACAAUGUAGGAAAAUCAGACCCUUCAGAUGACAAGGAUCUUCCCUCCACUUCCUCUGUGAGUCAGAUUGCUUUGGAUCUUUCUGACAGUGUCCUGAAAGAAUUGGCAGAAUUCGAGGGGAUAGCCGUAGACAAACAAGCUGGUCAGAAGAAUAUAUUCCACGAAACAAGCACUGUUAACAAGGUCGCCAUCUUUGUGUACAAGGUCUUGUUGUACCAUAUUGGUUUUGACGCAUUGCAGGAAACUGUAGCUUCAAAAAGUGAGGCUGUGGUCCAAAUGAUAGCCAGUUCAAUAGCUAGGAAGGUUUUCAAACUUCAGAAACCAACUGGAAAUGAUUCAGCCCCAUCUCAGUCUGCUUGCAAAAGCAGUGAAUCUAGUGUGGUGUCAACCACUGCCCAAGACCAAAUCAUUAAACUCCCAGCACCCUCCACUUGUGUGUCCAUCAUAGCAUCUGAUAUUGUAGAGGACAUCAUUACCAAGUUGCUCCUCAAAAUAAGCUCUAAUUGCUGGACACAUGAUGAAGAAAAGCAGAACAGAUACAGUUCAGCUCUUAAUGACAUGGCAGCAGGUUUAGUGAAGUCUGUACUGGAGGACCUCUCCCCUGACCAGACAAGAAGUGCAGGCGUGAAAGAGCAAGGCACUGAAAAGAGAGUCCUCCACUCUCAACCUUCCAGUGUGAGAAAAGCCGUCAACUCAGCUCACCAGGACCUAGUGCAACAGAGCGGCUCCUCAGCUUCACUGCAGAAGGCAGUAAAAUCUGGGAGUGAGGAAGUCACCACCGCAAUCAGAGCGGCCGUUGUGAAGCAGAUCUACGAGAUCUUUCUUUCGGGAUGUGACUCCUCAUCCAGCUCAAUCUCUAGCUCUACCUCAUCCAUCCAGUCCCACUCCAGUGAAGAAACCCGCAAAGUUCUCAAGUCUGCAGUGAGUGAUGUUGGGUCCACCAGCAGUGAAAGUUCACCAUCAGUAUCAUCUGUGCUCUCCUGUGAAGAAUUUGAGAUAAAUUGUGAAACGGUGAAGGAAAUUAUAACCAGGCUGCUUCUGGAAAUGCACCCUAACCUGUUCAAAGAAGGAGAGCAGCCCUGCCCGGCUGGGUCCAGCUUGCCUGUUAGCUCCCUCUUUGAUGAUGUAGUGAAGACGCUGUCAACUGUUCCGGGGGUGAAGAUCACCCAGCAUAAAGAAGGAAGCAGUUGUUACAAACCACUCAACAUUACAAGAAUUGUGCAAUCUGUUCUUCAGCAACUGGUGCAGAAAUCUGGCUCCAAGCUGAUUCUCCAAUUUGGAGUAGCAUCCAAGAAUAAGUCAGUCUACAAAGACAUUGUUCAGUUUGUGGUCAAUGAGAUAAUAAAAAGGAAAACAGACAUGUGCGCGAUUGUGCCCCCUGCUUUUGUCCCCGAAAAGGACUCCCAGUCUACUGAUAGGGAUUUGACUUCAUCGCCCAGUGAACAGGAGAAUGUGAAUGGAACAGUUCCCUCCCCCACCACUGAGGAUAUUGUCUUGCCAUUUGGAUUGAUUGAGCACAUCAUCGCCAGACUUCUUCUGAAAAUGCACCCUCUUGUAGCACCUCCCCACGACUUCUAUUGGCAUCCAGACUGCCUGACGAAAUCGCAGCUCUGCGAGAUUGCCCUGGACCUGACUGAGAAGACACAGACUGAGUUGUCCCAGAUGCAAGGAGUGUCUAUUGGAAGUGAAGAGGGAGAAGAGAAUGGCUUUCCUCGACUUUCUGUAAUUAAAGAGGUAGUGAAUUUCAUUCACAGGGAAAUGCUUGAGACUAUUGGCUCCAAGCCUGAUCUCCAGAAAGCAGUUGCAACCAGAAGUCAGUCAGUACUCAACAAAAUACCCACCUCUGUUAUCCGUGAAUUAUUGAAACUAUACAGUUCAGUUAGUGUCCAUUACAGUCCAUUACCCCAUGAGUCUCACAAGAUCAUCAGCACUGCUCCGAGGCACUCAGGUACAGCCUGCAAGCAAGGGGCAGAAGAUUAUGCCAUGACUUUCUUGAAGCGUCAGCAAGCAAUCCUUCUUGGUUCAAUAAAACCUGGAAGUUUUCUUCUGCCUCAAGACAGAUUAGAACUAUGCAAGGUGGAUCCCUUUGCUUCCAUAAGACCCAGGAUAAACAUGUCUCUUGCAGCCUCAUAUCAAAUGUUUUUUGUGCCUGAACAUUUCAUAAGAGACAUUCUGAACAUUUUGCUGUGGAAACUGUGCCCUAUUAUGCCAGUCAAUGAUAAGGAACUCAUCUCUAAGCGGAAUGAACUGGAAGAUACACUGCUAAGAUCAGUGAUGAAGGACAUUGCGUUAUCAGAGGGAAGAGACAAUGUCUUUAGCCACUUCAACACAAGAAUGAACCAAAAGGCAGAGGAGCGAAUGGUCCAUAAGAUAGCAGAUUCAGUCUACCAUGAGCUCACACAGGGCUCCCAGAAACAAGGUAUUUUCUCGGUUGAUACAAUCUAUGAGAGCAAGGCCAAGCACCAGAAGGUCUCCAGGAUUGUGACCAAGAAAUUGCUUUUGUGUGGCAAAUCUGUUCAUCCUAUCAAUGAGACUAGACCUGCCUUCAGCAUCCAACAGAUUGGAGAGAUUUCAAAAAAGGUGGACCAGCUGGUCCCUGUUGAUACUGACAACAAGAUUUCCCUCAGUGAGGCGUUUGAGAAAAUCAUGGCCAGCCUCCCACAGGAACCUGACACUGCAGCACCUAUCAGUCCCCCGGAGGCCCCGGACAGUGAGGGACAGGAAGACACACAGGCUGCAGGGCUGGAUGAAACACCCCAUGAUGUACAGAUACAAACAGAGACACAGCUUGCAAUUGCAGAUGAAGUCAAUGAAGAUGCAGACUCUGGGGAGCAAUCUGACGAACCCCCAAUAGAAGUUGCCCUGCAAACUCAGAGAAAGAAAUCGAAGAGCCGCGUCCGACGUUUUUUCUCCAGAAUCAGAAAGGCGGUGUGCGGAAUGUGCUGCGUCAAAAACCGCUCUGACUAAUCAAUCAAAAAAACACAAAAAAAUGGAUUUAAAAAUAUUUUAAAAAAUGAUAAAUGAGCUACAUAUGUUUUUGCCCUCAUUUUCUUCCGUAAUUUAUACUCCCUCCAUUAUUUAGCUGUUCCAAAUCAAAUUUAUCUGCCCCCUCCAAAUUACACCACAUGGUUUAACUAAAAUCCCCAGAUGUUCCCCUAUUGCAUCCCCAGCCCAGACAUUUCUCCUACAAUGAACUUUUUGGCCAGCACAGCUGGUACCAAAAAUGUCAGCUCCCAGGAGGAUGGGGGUCAGCUCAGACGACCUCCUCCCCACCUCACCGGGCACCUGGUCAGGAGGAGUUGGUGUGGUGCUGUGGGGCUCCAUUUACCCUGGCCUUGUCUGUCUCAACCCAGGGUCACCAACUGUACCUUUACUUUACCGCAAGGGAAGACUACUGUUUAAUGAUAAGUUUAAUCAAUAAAGAUUUUC